rnacentral:rRNA from 1 species
GAUGAACGCUAGCGGCAAGCUUAAUACAUGCAAGUCGAGGGGCAGCAUGACUGUAGCAAUACAGUUGAUGGCGACCGGCAAACGGGUGCGGAACACGUACAGAACCUUCCUUCGAGCGGGGAAUAGCCCAGAGAAAUUUGGAUUAAUACCCCAUAGUAUAUUAGAGUGGCAUCACUUUGAUAUUAAAGAUUUAUCACUUGAAGAUGGCUGUGCGGCUGAUUAGAUAGUUGGUGAGGUAACGGCUCACCAAGUCUGCGAUCAGUAACUGGUGUGAGAGCACGACCAGUCACACGGGCACUGAGACACGGGCCCGACUCCUACGGGAGGCAGCAGUAAGGAAUAUUGGUCAAUGGACGAAAGUCUGAACCAGCUAUGCCGCGUGGAGGAUGAAGGCCCUCUGGGUUGUAAACUUCUUUUAUAUGGGACGAAAAAGGGCCUUUCUAGGUCAACUGACGGUACCAUGUGAAUAAGCACCGGCUAACUCCGUGCCAGCAGCCGCCGUAACAC